rnacentral:rRNA from 1 species
UACGUACGAGGCGAGCGUUAUCCGGAAUACUGGGCGGUAAAGACGCGCGCAGGUGGCGAUGUAAGUGAGAACGUGAAAUCUCCCGGCCUAACUGGGAGGGGUCGUUUCAGGACUGCAUGGCUUGAGGACUGCAGAGGUGGUGGAAUUCCUGGUGUAGUGGUGAAAUGCGUAGAGAUCAGGAGGAACACCGGUGGCGAAGGGCGGCCCACUGGGCAGUCACUGACGCUGAGGCGCGAAAGCGUGGGGGAGCAAAACAGG